CCAAAGCCCCAAGUAUAAACCCGUCACAGGGACCAAAACCAUUACCCUCGGAGAGAAUAAAGGAGAUGCUGCCGGGGCCGGCGCCGACGCCGACGCUGACGCUGGUGGGAACCCUGUUUGGGCCGGGCAUCUUAAAUGCACUCCGUUGCCCUCUGCAAGCUCCUCUAUAUCCGGCUGUUGGAUGGGUGGGAUCGAUCGGUUCUAUGUUACCUUGCGUGCUGGGGUGAGGCUGAGGGCCGUCUUCGUGAAUCAUUUCGUAGGACGACGACCUCAAGGCGCCGGUUGACAAGAUGCUGCACAAGGCAAUGGCCGUCAACCAGUACAGAAACUUCUGUCCGUCUUUUUAUUUUGCCUGCCCCUUCUUGAUUUCUUUAUCCUGUUCGAUUUGAUCACCAGUUGGUGUUCUGAAUCUGAAAACCUAAUUUUAGGUGUUCAAGAAGCAUUCUUUCUGAUCCCUCGCGUUGAAGGUUUGCGAGAAAUGAGAGUUUGUGGAAGAAUUGAGGGGAGAGGAUGCCAAGUAUCUACAUGAGGUGGUACUGUUAGGGACCACUGAAAGAUUGAGAUGGUCGCGUGAUGUAAUUGAAGAUUGUGGAUGUAUUUCGAUGUUCGAAGGAUUCGAUAACAAAUAGAUAUUGCACACCUGAAAAUUUGUAACAAUGAGCACAGUCAGAGAAAAUUAAAAGGAAAUAACAGUGACAAUUAGGGAAGGAAGGAUAUAUACUAUAUGAAAGAAAAGAAUACUGAAAUAUCUUACAUAAUUUCCUUUCUCUUUUGUUAUUGUAUGCCUAAGUUUCAGACAAAAUUGUUUUUCACAUUGUCUGACUCAGCACAGUUCAAUAUGGUAAUGAUUUAGAACUUGUU